AUUGUUAAAUUUAUUACUUGCCGAUUAACUAUAUUUUCAGGAUGGUUGUACCUAGCGACAAGUAUUUCCCUGCCACUGUCUCAUGCCAAGUGCACAAGAUCGGCAGUCUUAUUAAGGAUAAAUUGAUCAAGGAACAGCUGCAAAUGUUCGACAAAACAAUUUUUGGUCCAUUGCUGAAUGUCAACAUAGUCUUUAACGGCCAGUUUAUCCAUCAUUUCUUGCUGAGGCAGAUACCUGAAGACGGUAACGCAGAUGGAAUCUAUUUUUCAGUUUUGAGGAAGAACGUCCGUUUCACCCAAAAGGAAUUCAACAUCAUAACUGGAUUGUGGCCACCAAACACAACAUUGGAGAAAGAUUACGAUAACAAGCGCCUACAAAGCCUUCUAUUUGGAUCAAAAAAUAAGAAACUAAUAACAUGCUUGGAAAUUGAGGAAGUUUUCAAGAAUUUUGAGUUUACAAAUGAUGACGAUGUUGUGAAGGUCGCCUUGGCUGUCUUUAUAGAAACUGUGAUGGUUGGGAAGGAUAAGAAAACACAGUUUGACAUGGAUAUUUUGGGAAGAGUUGAUAAUGAAGAAGCAUUUAAAAGCUUCGAUUGGUCAACUUUCUUCUACAUUCGUCUGCUUAAUAGUUUAAAGACAUGUCUACAAGGGAAAAAAGAAGCAUAUGAGCUAAAGAAGACAACAAUCAGAAAGUCUGUAGGAUGGAUGAUACAAUCAGAAAGCAAUCAUUGGAGCUAUCUGAAAUGAAGCAGAUGCUCGAGAGUUUGGUGCAGAAUCAAAAUGAAAAUCAAGGGAAUAUACUGAACAUAUAUGAUGAUCAGAAUAGAGAAGAUAUGAUCACCAGUGACCAAGCAUAUGUUGAAGAACAACAUACCGAAGAACAAUAUACUGAACAUCAAGAGGAACCCUAAAGAAAUAUCAAGAGAAAUCUGGUAGUGAUAUAAGCAUAUACGACAGAGAUGCAGACUUGCUAAUGACUAUAAGAGAUAUAUCGGAUAAUCUAAAUGCUCAAAGUCAGAAGGAAAAGACCUGCAAGAAAUGAUUACUACCCUUCCACUUGUGAGCUAACCUCUUACACUUUGUGAAAUGGCUCCAUUCGAUCAAACUGUACAAAUUCAUGAAGUGCCACCAUCAAUUUCAAUUGUAAAUGAAGAAUCUCAACUGGAAACAACAAAACAACAGGUUGAGAUUCAAAAAAAUGAUGAAGCAGUUACUUUGGUUGAAAAAGAACCAAUAACGGUGCCUGAUAAAGACUACAAAUUUGUUGUUUUGUUGAAAAAGAACCAGAAAGAAAGAUCAUAUCAGAAUCUACAAUACCUGUCCCAAAUGUCGAAAUCAGAGAUGUAUAUAGAUAUAAUUCCAUGUGGCAAGUGGAUUCAAAAUUAUGGAAGACAUACUUAAAAUGGAAAAGAUCAAGAAAAACAACUCAUGAAGAAAGGAAAGUUGUCUCUACAACAAGAAAACCAUGGAUUUGCUAUUAUCCCACUUACAGGAGAAAAUGUUGCAUCUCAAACAACUUUGCAAGCGUACUUUUGAAAUAUUAGAUUCCGCGUUUAUAACUGGAAUCAAUAAACCAGACUGCAUUGUUUGGCAACAUAUUUUUGAUACUCAUCUGGUGACACUAGGCAAUAAAAAAGCUGAAUGGACAGACACAACAAGACACUUAAAUAUAUGGGUAGAAAAAAAUUUGGAAUACUAUUUCAACACAGCUGUUGGUGAUUUCAAAGAAAAACCAGGGUGGAGAGAUGUCAACUACGUGAUUGGUUGCAUCAAUAUAAAAGAACACUAGUUAGCUAUUGCAGCUGAUAUGAGAAAAUGCAAGAUCUACGUGUUCGACUCAAUGCCAAAUUAUGUUGAGUAGAAACUUGUUGAUCAAGCUCUUCAAACGUCUGCACGAUGCAUCGCCUCACUCGCAAUUGAAAUUGGAGUGAACCUCCAUUCAGAACGAUUCAAAUAUAGCCCUUGGCCAGUACGCAGAUCAAAGACCACAUUACAGAAAAGGCGUUCACUGGAUUAUGGCAUUUUCAGUUCUAAAUUUAUUGAAUGCCUUGUAACUGAAGCUGACCAUGGUUGUCUAACUGUGUCAAACAUUAAACUAUUUAGACAACAGUAUGUAUUGGAA